ensembl:lncRNA
UUCUAAUGUUGUACUUUUUUACUUCUAUAAAAAAUUUAAUGAAUAGUGGGAAACUACACAAGAAAAGUAAAUGAAUGCGGUUUUAACGCGGUUAUAUUAGUAAAGCAAGUCUUACCCAAAAAGUCAAUAAAUGGUGACCACAUUUUAUCAUUAUUAUUAACCAUUUAGUGCUUCACUAAAUUCCUAUAGCAAGUGGAAACGUUACUCUCCUUCAUUGGUGAUUUUCAUGUUCCUCGAUAUCUUCCAAUGGACUCGUUGUGAAAUCCUUCUGGAUCCUCUGCGUUGAAGUACGUUGUUCAAUUUCCAAGGGGCGUGUCUAAAGGGCGCGAUCUAAAAUGGGUCGAUGCUAUGCUAUUGGAUAGGCCUCGACUAAUCAUAGCAUUGGAACGGGUGAUGCAGAAAUACAUAUUCCUCAAAAUCUUUGAGUAGUAGUCGUUCGUUCUUUUAGUGAGCAUAUACAGUCUUUAGUUCACCAACUUCCAUCUUUGUUGUUGAAACACCUCUACAUGUUGCGUAUAUCCAACCUCAAAUUAGAUAACCUAAAGGGUUGCUAUUGGUCGGUCUAUUUCGUACCGGGCAGAAAACGUUAUAUAACGGAGGGGCGCCUGGCAGCAUCUAUCAAGAGCAAAUUAUAUUUGAGGUCCGUCUAGUUCCGAAGCUAUUGGUGAAACACGCAAAACAAAUAUUGAAAUGUUAAUUUUGGCAUUUCAUUUGCAUCUACAUUUUGCCAGUGAAGGAGUUUAGGUUUGCCAAUCCGAGGUCUAACAGGCAGUAAACAUGUUCAUUAAAAUACAAAUGCAAAGUCCACAGAACAUACGCGAAUAAAAACCACAUUGCACCACCAGCGGUCAACAGCAGCAUCAGCAAGUGUAUUGAAAGUAGAAAAGUAGUAAAGAGAAGAAUAGAAUUGGGAGAGUGGUGUGCAAGUCAGACACCGCAUCUAACCCAGGACCACCUUGCAGAUCACAAGCAGCAAACCUUCUACCAGACCAACCAAACACACAACAGGCCCCCAGUCAGUAGGGUCAGUCAGACAGGUUUCCACAGAAGGGCUCAGUGGGGUUAUGGGUUGAGCAAAAACAGAACCCUUUCUUCCUUCCACAAGUUUCCAUCAUGGAUUUUUCGGACAUGUGGAGUCGGACAUGUUUCAAGUUAUCCGUGGAUUCCUGAGGGCAGUGAAGUAUCUGCAGAAGGUGACGUCCAGGUCCAGCGGUCUGCCGCAUUGACCACGAGAUCUUUAACCGAGUGGGACCGCCUCGGUUUGUAGUAGGCCUAGAACAGUUUGUGUUCAACAGCGUGGACGUCCUGUAGUUUCCAUCAGAGUUGCUGCAGUUCUUCCAUGCUGCUUCCACAGUGAGCAGAGGACACUUCCCAGUGUGGUGGUCGGUGCUGUAGCGGUCCGCAGCGUUAGUUAGUCAGUCGAACUCAUAGAUAAACCACUCAACACAAACUACCACUUCCAUCAGCAAAUCCACAUUAACCUCCAGCGGUAAAACAUGUACAAUAGAGGGGCGAGAACAGAAGACAGGAGGAGAUGGGGAGAGUGUAACGUGCAGUGCUCAUGAAGGAAGUACCCCGCGUUACUCACUGCGUGGGUCCCGGUGGCGGGGGGUCCACGUCGGUGGCCACGAUGUCCGGAUUGUUCAGCCCACACAAUCCAACGCAAAAUAAACGAUUAACAUCCGUCACGGUGGGGGCGCUUGAUGAGGAGAGGCGGGGGAGACGCAGCUGAAAUCAAUUAAGAACUAGUGACCAGAAGAACGUGAUUGGUUGUGAGCGAGAAGCUCGAGACGAGAGACGGCAAAGGCCUGCGUAUUGGUUAGAGCAAAUAACGUCUGGUGUAAUCCAUUUGUAUGGUACGCCGGUACGUGCUAGUGGUAAACUGCCAAUCUCCCAGCUUUCUUGCGGCAUUUGCGGAGGCACGUCCCCUUUUGGUCGUAGAAGCUUUCCCGUUUCUCAUUAUACGCAUUUGGGCUUUUUCAUGGGCGGCGACGCUAGGGAAUAGAACGGUGGCGUGAAGGAUAGUGGAGCCCAAAGCCCAACACACACCGGCGCCGAAGCGGUCAAAAAGAACACCACCAUUAUUUCGGACGUAGGCCUACUAGCCCACACCAGCGCUCGGCGGCCCGCCGACCCACUAGUCCUCAAGCCACUGUUCUAUUCCCUAGC